AAGCACUAAAUCACAUCAUUAUUGUGUAUUGAUUUGACUUAAAUCAGUUGUGUCUCUUAAUUUGGAGAGAGUAACUGAAAGCUACAUCCACAUUUAAUGCUCAGAAGUUACAAUUAAUGGUGUCAAGAUUGUAGAUCAAUUUACAUACCUUUUUUAAAACUGAAAAAUGAAAGUAUAGAAUAUGUGUUAAACCAUUUAAUGUUAUUCCCUGGAUAUUUUUUUUUUGGUUUAUUGAAUUUGAUGCUGCUAUGACUAACAGUGAGUAUACUGUAAAUCCUUUGUAUUUUGGUGUAUGAUGUUCUUCUUAUGUGAUAUAAAAAGACAAACGAUGA